GAAUAGGUAUUGUGCGGUGAAAAACUGUGAACCAUGUCAGGCGGGGAACCGAGCAGCAUUAAGCAUUCUCUUUCAUGCGAUACAAUUAACCUUUUCAAC
rnacentral:SRP_RNA from 1 species